UGCAGCUCGCACGACAUAUAGGAACAAUCCAUGAGUACAGUGGCGUACGGGUGAGUAACACGUGGAUUAUCUACCUCUUAGUGGGGAAUAACCCUGGGAAACCGGGGCUAAUACCGCAUAAGCUCGAGAGAGGAAAGCAGCAAUGCGCUGAGAGAGGAGUCCGCGGCCGAUUAGCUAGUUGGCAGGGUAAAAGCCUACCAAGGCAUAGAUCGGUAGCCGGCCUGAGAGGGCACACGGCCACACUGGCACUGAAACACGGGCCAGACUCCUACGGGAGGCAGCAGUGGGGAAUCUUGCACAAUGGGGGCAACCCUGAUGCAGCGACGCCGCGUGAGCGAUGAAGCCCUUCGGGGUGUAAAGCUCUUUCGUCAGGGAAGAUUAUGACGGUACCUGGAGAAGCAGCUGCGGCUAACUACGUGCCAGCAGCCGCGGUAAUACGUAGGCAGCGAGCGUUGUUCGGAGUUACUGGGCGUAAAGGGUGUGUAGGCGGUUGUUUAAGUUUGGUGUGAAAUCUCCCGGCUCAACUGGGAGGGUGCGCCGAAUACUGAAUGACUUGGAGUGCGGGAGAGGAGAGUGGAAUUCCUGGUGUAGCGGUGAAAUGCGUAGAUAUCAGGAGGAACACCGGCGGUGUAGACGGCUCUCUGGACCGUAACUGACGCUGAGACACGAAAGCGUGGGUAGCAAACAGGAUUAGAUACCCUGGUAGUCCACGCCCUAAACGAUGCAUAUUUGGUGUGGGUCAUUCAGUUGAUCCGUGCCGGAGCUAACGCGUUAAAUAUGCCGCCUGGGGAGUACAGUCGCAAGGCUGAAACUCAAAGGAAUUGACGGGGGCCCGCACAAGCGGUGGAGCAUGUGGUUCAAUUCGACGCAACGCGAAGAACCUUAC
rnacentral:rRNA from 1 species